rnacentral:pre_miRNA from 1 species
CUGAUACUCUCCGUGUUCACUGUUUGCCUGGAUGUCGAAUACUGAAAAUCGAGAACGAAAUCUAAAUCAUAAGGCACGCGGUGAAUGCCAAGAGUUGAUGC